rfam:Pontibacillus yanchengensis Y32 contig9, whole genome shotgun sequence.
UUAUGCGGAAGUUCGAUUAAAACCGCUGCAUCACGCAGCAACAUCGAACCAACCUACGUCGUGUAGG